AGCAUAGGAGUGGAAUUUUUCGGAAGCUUCAAAUAUGACUGAGUGGCGGACGGGUGAGUAACGCGUGGGUAACCUGCCUCAUACAGGGGGAUAACAGUUUUCUAAGAAAGCUAAUACCGCAUAAGCGCACAAAACCGCAUGGUUUGGUGUGAAAAACUGAGGUGGUAUGAGAUGGACUCGCGUCUGAUUAGCUAGUUGGUGGGGCAACGGCCCACCAAGGCGACGAUCAGUAGCCGGACUGAGAGGUUGGCCGGCCACAUUGGGACUGAGACACGGCCCAGACUCCUACGGGAGGCAGCAGUGGGGAAUAUUGGGCAAUGGGCGAAUGCCUGACCCAGCAACGCCGCGUGAAGGAAGAAGGCUUUCGGGUUGUAAACUUCUUUUGUCAGGGACGAAGCAAGUGACGGUACCUGACGAAUAAGCCACGGCUAACUACGUGCCAGCAGCCGCGGUAAUACGUAGGUGGCAAGCGUUAUCCGGAUUUACUGGGUGUAAAGGGCGUGUAGGCGGGACUGCAAGUCAGAUGUGAAAACUCAGGGCUCAACCCUGAGCCUGCAUUUGAAACUGUAGUUCUUGAGUACUGGAGAGGCAGACGGAAUUCCUAGUGUAGCGGUGAAAUGCGUAGAUAUUAGGAGGAACACCAGUGGCGAAGGCGGUCUGCUGGACAGCAACUGACGCUGAGGCGCGAAAGCGUGGGGAGCAAACAGGAUUAGAUACCCUGGUAGUCCACGCUGUAAACGAUGGAUACUAGGUGUGGGGGGACUGACCCCCUCCGUGCCGCAGCUAACGCAAUAAGUAUCCCACCUGGGGAGUACGAUCGCAAGGUUGAAACUCAAAGGAAUUGACGGGGGCCCGCACAAGCGGUGGAGUAUGUGGUUUAAUUCGAAGCAACGCGAAGAACCUUACCAGGGCUUGACAUCCAACUAACGAGGCAGAGAUGCGUUAGGUGCCCUUCGGGGAAAGUUGAGACAGGUGGUGCAUGGUUGUCGUCAGCUCGUGUCGUGAGAUGUUGGGUUAAGUCCCGCAACGAGCGCAACCCUUGUUGCUAGUUGCUACGCAAGAGCACUCUAGCGAGACUGCCGUUGACAAAACGGAGGAAGGUGGGGACGACGUCAAAUCAUCAUGCCCCUUAUGUCCUGGGCCACACACGUACUACAAUGGUGGUCAACAGAGGGAAGCAAAGCCGCGAGGUGGAGCAAAUCCCUAAAAGCCAUCCCAGUUCGGAUCGCAGGCUGCAACCCGCCUGCGUGAAGUUGGAAUCGCUAGUAAUCGCG
rnacentral:rRNA from 1 species